rnacentral:rRNA from 1 species
UACGUAGGUGACAAGCGUUAUCCGGAAUUACUGGGCGUAAAGCGCACGCAGGCGGCGCGGUAAGUCUGAUGUGAAAUCUCCCGGCUUAACUGGGAGGGGGUCAUUGGAAACUGCCGAGCUUGAGGCGAUGAGAGGGGUGUAGAAUUCCCGGUGUAGUGGUGGAAUGCGUAGAUAUCGGAGGAAUACCAGUGGCGAAAGCGGCACCCUGGCAUUAGCCUGACGCUCAUGUGCGAAGGCGUGGGGAGCGAACGGG